AAAUCUCAACCUCCUUGGUUUCUUCUAGAGACCAAAGGUGGCUUGGACUUUGGAGGCCUUUGCUGGCACCUCUCUCCAGCUCCUCUUGAAUGAAUUAGCGGGGUCCUCUUUGCCGACCCUUGACAUGUGAUAAGAUGUUUCCAUGUCUUGGUUUCUGGCUCUGUUGCCUUUGGGACCCGCUUCAAACCGUCUCAACUUGAGAGACAAUGUUCGAGCCUGUCUCCCUUCUUGGGAGACCCCUCUCGGCCCCACGAAC
rnacentral:misc_RNA from 1 species